rnacentral:rRNA from 1 species
UGAGGAAUAUUGGUCAAUGGACGGAAGUCUGAACCAGCCAAGUAGCGUGCAGGAUGACGGCCCUAUGGGUUGUAAACUGCUUUUGUAUGGGGAUAAAGUUAGGGACGUGUCCCUAUUUGCAGGUACCAUACGAAUAAGGACCGGCUAAUUCCGUGCCAGCAGCCGCGGUAAUACGGAAGGUCCAGGCGUUAUCCGGAUUUAUUGGGUUUAAAGGGAGCGUAGGCUGGAGAUUAAGUGUGUUGUGAAAUGUAGACGCUCAACGUCUGAAUUGCAGCGCAUACUGGUUUCCUUGAGUACGCACAACGUUGGCGGAAUUCGUCGUGUAGCGGUGAAAUGCUUAGAUAUGACGAAGGACUCCGAUUGGGAAGGCAGCUGACGGGAGCGCAACUGACGCUUAAGCUCGAAGGUGCGGGUAUUAAACAGG